GUGCUGCAUUUUCCUAGAAAUCCUGAUUUUAUUGAAGAUGGAACUGUGUUUUUUUCCACUAGUUUUGCAGUAUGCUGUGUGUCAUAAAUAAUUGUUGCUGCAGCCUCUGACACUGGAAUCAGUGUGAAGCAGAUGAAGAGGAACCUGGUGACUGCAGGAACACAUCAGUUAGCUGUUUGUUGUGGUUUUUCUGUCAAGGAUGAAUUCAGACCCCUGGCCUUCUGAAAGCUAAGUAGAGGGACAGGUGCUGGAGGGGGUCAAGGUUGACAGUUUCAGGGAGGAGUUUUAAAGUCAGGGUAGAGCAGAGGGCUAUGCGGGAGCAGUCUCCUCUGAGUAGGUAAAGGGAGUGGGUUACUUUUCAGCACAAAGCUAGUGUGUGCUGGGCAGGGCAGAUCUGGCCUGUGUCUUCGGUUGUAUAGUUUGUGCGCUCUGUCUUCUGUGUCUUGGACUUUCCUUAGGUUUUGGUGUCCUUAUUUCUCUUUGCACUCAAGGAGCACAGCAUGUGCCUUGGGCACCACCUGUAGGGUCUCAAAUGCCUGUGCUAAUUGGCAGAGUGCCCAAUGGGCACUUUUCUUGCAUAACAAUUUUAAAGUGCAGAUAGGACUUGCCUCUCAGGAGUUUCUGAAUGGUCCUCUUCUGCAGUGUCGUUCCCGGCUGCAUGAGCAGCUCUGUUCUCUGGACUCUAGCAGCUCUAGCCAUCUACUUUUAUGAACUGUGAUUUCAUCCCUGCAUCCUUAUGUUCUCGGGUCUUAAAGCCAGGCUUCCUGCACAUAUGUCGUCUCAGUUUUGACAGGAACUUCUUGGAAUGGGCCGUUACAUUUGACUCUUUUAUGGCUUUGACGUAGAGCCUCCUCACGUCAGUGCUGCAGCCCUGUAGGUCUUCUUGCCUGACAGUGUCUCUUGUCUGAAAGUCAUUCUUCUUGUGGAGAGUUUUCUCUCAUCUUGGAGUCACGUUGUCUCUGGUGCUGUGUGGUGUUGGGCUGCGGUGUGGUGUGGGUGUGUUUGGCGUGGAGCUGCCCUGCCUAGGGGUGUAGAGUCAGGGGUAGGUGGAACAGCAAUAAGAGUCUAUGGGCAAUAUGUUGAUCUGCCAAGAAUGUUUAGCCAAAGGUUGUACAGUUAUCUGGGAUCAAGCAGCCAUCAGCAGGGACAGUCAUUUCUAUAGUGUUUUACGGAGAUGAUUGGAGCCUUCUGGGAGGGCCUGUUUGGCAGUAGUGAAGCAGAUUGAAGGUGUUAAGGCUUGUACAUGUGGGGAUUAAUGUUGGGUCCAAUUUUUUUUAAUGGCAGGCUGUAGUUGGAGCCUAGAUGAUAUUCCUAAAUGGAAACAAGACCCCUGGGAUUGUUCAGCUACUGAUCAGCAUCUGGGUGACUUGUUUGUUAAUUUUUUCAUAUGCAGAGGGACAAGAUGUGGCCCAAAGAGCGAUGGAGGAGGCAAGCGGGACCCCGUAAGAAGGUGCAGGAUGCAGGCUCAGAGGGGCUAAGCCAUACGCUGAGGAGUGGGCUGAGAAGGUGUCCUGUGAACCAUCUUUGGAAGUGGAUGAGCAUUAGAGAUGAUGAAGAGGGACCUGGUGACUACAGGAAUGUCCCAGACAGUUGAUGUGCUGUGUGUUUUUUUUUCUUUUUUUUUUUUUUGGUCAACAUGGGAUUUAAGACCUCCAGCCGUCUGAAAGCUAAGUUGAGCGGCCAGAGCUGGGGAGGGCUUGGGAGGAGGGAAGAAGUUUGGGAGUUGCAGGGAGGCCUCUUAAAGUUAGAAAAGGGCAGAGGGCUGUCCUGGAGCAGUCCCCUUUGGACAGGUAAAGGGAGUGCGUUAGUCUUGUUUGUGUGGUCUGUCUUCUGUAUCUUAAACCUACCUUGGGUCUCAAUGUCCUCCCUACACUUAGAGAGCACAGCCUGUACUUCAGGCAUCAUCCCUAGAAUCUUGAAUGCCUGUACUCAUUGGCAUUGCCCCAGUCGGGUGUGGCUUUUCUUGCAUUAUAAGCUUAAAGCAUGGAUUGGUCUUGCAUCUUGGAUGUUUCUGGAUGGUCCUCAUUUGCAGCAUUGUUCCUGGCUGCGGCUCCUGUUCCUGUUCUCUAGCCAUCCGUUUUCAGUGACUGGGACUUCUUCCCUGCAUCCUUAAGUUCUUAGGUCUUGAAGCCAGGCUUUCUGCGCAUACAUCUUCUCAGUUUUAGAGUCACUCGUUGUCACGGGCCAUUACAUUGUACUCAUUUCCUGGGCUUUCCCUAGAGCCUUCUCAUGUCACCAUCGUGGUCCCACAGGUCUUCUUGCCUGACAGUCACUUAUGUCUGGGUGUCAUCCUUCUUGCUGAGAGUUUUCUCUCAUCGGUGAGGGGCAUUGUUUGUAGUGUUCUGUGUAGUGUUGGUCUGUGCUUGUGUGUGUUUGGCUCAGAGCUGCUCUGCCCGGUUAUGUAGAGUCAGGGGUAGGUGGAACAUCAGUAGGAGUCUAUGGUUAGUUUGUUGAUCUACCUAGACUGUUGAGGCAAAAGUGGUACAGUCAACUCCCAUCAAGUAGCCAUCAGCAGGUGGUGUGGGCAGCUCUUUAAUUAGGGGGGUUGUUUUGGGAUGAGCAGAGCUAUGUGUGAGGGGCUGUUCAGCAGUAGUGAAGCAAACUGCGUCUCAAAGAUGUUAAGGCUGCUUUGUAUGGGGUGUAAUGUUUUUUGUUUUUUUUUUUUUUUUUUUUUUAAUGUCAGGCUGUAAUUGUACUCCAGAUGGUAUUUCUAAGGCAAAACAAGACCUUUUUGAGGGGGUGUGUGUGUCACAUGGGGUUCCCCCUAAAAGAGGCAGUUCACAGCCCAAAAGCACCUGAAAAUUCAUGUGGGGAAUGUGUGUUUAAAAAAAUAAUAAAACCUGUAUAUAUGGGUAUGAGGCAUUGAAAUAAAGAACAAUUUCUCAUUUUUAUACAUAUUGAAAAAUAUGAGUGUAUGUAUAUAAAAAGGAGUUCACAAUAAAAACCUGUAUCUACUAUAUUAUAUAAAGGAUGUUAUCAUAUUAAAAGAUCUGUCCCAUAGGCAAUUUUUGCCUUCAUGGUUCUCUCUGUCUCGCUCCCUGUUGCUUCCUCCUGUCUGAUCUGUAGCCCAUAGCGGUUUUCUUUCCUCUGUGGCUCCCUUUCCUUGUUUUUUCCCCCCCCACUUCUCUGCCCUGUAGUAGAUUGCUGUUGUAUUGGGUUUAAGAGACAAGGUUUUGUUGGCUGAGUUGUGGGGGCAGGGGUGGGUUCUGUGAGAAGACACCAGAAGCUCCCCCCAUGUUGGGCACAGCCAGCUCAGAGAGGGACCUGACGCUGGUCAAAGCCGAGCCCAUCAGCAACACUGGCCAGGAGUGGAGCAGAGAGUCCCUGCAACACAUGGCGGCCCCGCUGUUGGAGCAGAAAAAGAGUGCGAGGAGGAAGGAGCAGCAGAGACAAUGCAAGAUGAACUGACCACAACCCCAACUCCCUGUCACCCUGCGUUGUCUGAGGGUACGAUGUAGAGAAGUCGUGAGUGAAGAUGAUCCCAGAAAAAGAGAGGGGUGGUGGGAAGGUG